rnacentral:rRNA from 1 species
GAUGAACGCUGGCGGCGUGCCUAAUACAUGCAAGUCGAGCGAACAGACGAGGAGCUUGCUCCUCUGACGUUAGCGGCGGACGGGUGAGUAACACGUGGAUAACCUACCUAUAAGACUGGGAUAACUUCGGGAAACCGGAGCUAAUACCGGAUAAUAUAUUGAACCGCAUGGUUCAAUAGUGAAAGACGGUUUUGCUGUCACUUAUAGAUGGAUCCGCGCCGCAUUAGCUAGUUGGUAAGGUAACGGCUUACCAAGGCAACGAUGCGUAGCCGACCUGAGAGGGGGCACGGCAAAACGGGAAAGAAGCCGGGGCCAAGCCGCCGAGGGAGGGAACAAGAAGGGAAUCUUCCGAAUGGGCGGAAGCCUGGAGGGAGCAACCCCGCGGGAGGAAUAAGGGUCUCGGAAUGAUAAACUUUUUUGAUGGGGAAAAACAAAAUUUGAAAGAAACUAUGCAGGUCUGGCGGUUCCUUAAUCGGAAGCCCGGGGCUAGCCAGGUC